rnacentral:rRNA from 1 species
UACGUAGGGUGCAAGCGUUAAUCGGAAUUACUGGGCGUAAAGCGUGCGCAGGCGGCUUUGUAAGACAGGUGUGAAAUCCCCGGGCUUAACCUGGGAACUGCAUUUGUGACUGCAUUGCUGGAGUGCGGCAGAGGGGGAUGGAAUUCCGCGUGUAGCAGUGAAAUGCGUAGAUAUGCGGAGGAACACCGAUGGCGAAGGCAAUCCCCUGGGCCUGCACUGACGCUCAUGCACGAAAGCGUGGGGAGCAAACAGG